rnacentral:tRNA from 1 species
AUUUAAAUAGCUUAAUUAAAGAGUAUGAUAUUGAAGAUAUCAGGGUAAUAUUUUUAUAUUUUUAAAUA